GACAGCGGAGCAUGUGGUUUAAUUCGAAGCAACGCGAAGAACUUACCAGGUCUUGACAUCCUCUGACAAUCUGAGAGAUCAGACUUUCCCUUCGGGGACAGAGAGACAGGUGGUGCAUGGUUGUCGUCAGCUCGUGUCGUGAGAUGUUGGGUUAAGUCCCGCAACGAGCGCAACCCCUGUGGUUAGUUGCCAUCAUUUAGUUGGGCACUCUAAGCAGACUGCCGUGGAUAACACGGAGGAAGGUGGGGACGACGUCAAAUCAUCAUGCCCCUUAUGACCUGGGCUACACACGUGCUACAAUGGUCUGAACAGAGGGCUGCGAAACCGCGAGGUGAAGCUAAUCCCUUAAAACAGAUCUCAGUUCGGAUUGCAGGCUGCAACUCGCCUGCAUGAAGUUGGAGUUGCUAGUAAUCGCAGAUCAGAAUGCUGCGGUGAAUGCGUUCCCGGGUCUU
rnacentral:rRNA from 1 species